rnacentral:rRNA from 1 species
AACGAGCGCAACCCUGCCCUUAGUUGCCAGCAUUUAGUUGGGCACUCUAAGGGGACUGCCGGUGAUAAGCCGAGAGGAAGGUGGGGAUGACGUCAAGUCCUCAUGGCCCUUACGGGCUGGGCUACACACGUGCUACAAUGGUGGUGACAGUGGGCAGCGAGCACGCGAGUGUGAGCUAAUCUCCAAAAGCCAUCUCAGUUCGGAUUGCACUCUGCAACUCGAGUGCAUGAAGUUGGAAUCGCUAGUAAUCGCGGAUCAGCAUGCCGCGGUGAAUACGUUCCCGGGCCUU